rnacentral:piRNA from 1 species
UGCGUUCAAGUAGUUUAAAAAUGAGCCCACA